CCUACGGGUGGCAGCAGUGGGGGAUAUUGCACAAUGGGGGAAACCCUGAUGCAGCGACGCCGCGUGUGGGAAGAUGGUCUUCUGGAUUGUAAACCACUGUCCCCAGGGACGAAAAUGACGGUACCUGGGGAGGAAGCUCCGGCUAACUACGUGCCAGCAGCCGCGGUAAUACGUAGGGAGCAAGCGUUGUCCGGAAUUACUGGGUGUAAAGGGAGCGUAGGCGGGGAUGCAAGUUGGGUGUCAAAACUACCGGCUCAACCGAUAGUCGCACUCAAAACUGCAACUCUUGAGUGAAGUAGAGGCAGGCGGAAUUCCUAGUGUAGCGGUGAAAUGCGUAGAUAUUAGGAGGAACACCAGUGGCGAAGGCGGCCUGCUGGGCUUUUACUGACGCUGAGGCUCGAAAGUGUGGGGAGCAAACAGGAUUAGAUACCCGUGUAGUC
rnacentral:rRNA from 1 species